CAGACAGUAAAGAAGGCGGAUUUGUGAAGGGGGCGGCGACUUACAAUGAUCAUGGACGACUUGGAGGUGAAGCCCAUGUCUGCCAUUUCCAGCAUUGCUCUGCUUAACGAGCUUAAUGUCAAGGAUCUAAGCGCCCUCAAAGAAAAGGAAGUGGAUCUUAGCAUGAAUAAGGCGUUGAAGCUGCUUAAGGCAUCUUUGGAGACCAAGACAGUGCUUACCAGUGUCUUGUUGGAUGUCAAAUCUAAAACUCCAUGAGAAUUGUCUAGUUUUUCACUUUUGGAUAACAAUUUUAUGUUGGAAUCAGUGACUAUUUUGAUCCUUUUUUGCUUAAUUAAGGUACCAAUUCUAAAUGAUUA